rnacentral:lncRNA from 1 species
UAAAAUUAACCAUUAAUUUUUUUUUUUUGCAUGCUGCUCGAAACACAUUAUGUGAUAUGUUUUAUUUGUAAUCGCGUUAUUUUGUGGAAGGACUGAGAAACAUGAAAACUAAAAAAAUCUGCCAGAUUCUAUUGACUUAUGGUCUUUAAACUUUUAAAUUGGGAUUGCUGAAGCUUUUUUUUUUUUGUCUUUAGCACCAUGAGUUUAACCGUUGCCAUGUAAUAAAAAUUGAAAUGAGACCUAUAAGAAAAAAAAUCAGAAAAAAUAAAAUAGAUUUAGAGCAGGAUGUAGAAAGUGCUGAAAGUGCUCUUAAGGUUAUGUGGUUGGUUUAUAUAUAUAUAUAUAUAUAUAGACACGCACACAUACAUAUAUAUACAUAUAUGAAUGAUAGAUAGAUGGACACACACACACCAAUUAAAUGAGAAACACAUAAUAUGGGUGGUUGCAAUGGCUGACCUUGCUUUAUGGUACUGAUUGUUGUGCUGUCACAGCCCAUGUGGAAUAUUGUCCACUUUAUAUCCUAACUUUCAUGGCUUUAAAAUGUUUCUGCAUAUAUUAGAGGAGUUGACCCUUUUAAGUACCAAGAACUUCUUGUGUGGAACGUCAUAUUUACACCCUCCCAUGUAGGCAUGGCAUUCUUGUUUUAUCUUGUGGCUCAUAUGCCAAACUCCAUGCAUUUUUUAUUGAUGAUUGACUUUGAUACUAUCAUCACAACCUGUGUAGAUAUAGUUUAUUGUAAAUCUGCUAAUCUUCAUAGUCUUUAAAUGUGUCUACACAUAUGAGAUGAGUCACUCCUUAUAAGAGUUAGGAACUUCUCCUUCUUAGGUGAUGUAUAACAUCACAUUAACCAUCAUAUAGGAACACCAUUCUUGUCCUAAAACAUGGCUUACAAGGUGGCCUAACUUUGCACAUUUCCCAUUGUAGAUUGAUUCUAAUACUAUCUGCGUAGAUAUUCUCCGCUUUAGCCCUAUUGGUUUUCAUAAUUUUAAAACACUUUGAUAUAUUACCGGAGGCUCCCUUUAAGUAUUAGUAACUUUAUCAAGUAGAAAGGCAGAACAGCAAUCUGGUAAUCAACUGCAAAUAAUUGGGAUAAGGUAUAGCAGAGGAGUCAAUUUAGGUUGAGUGUUGCAGGUUAUCUUUUUGGUUUAUGCAAAAUAGUCUGCACUUUCUUCUAUGCCUUUAUUUAAUAUCUAAAAUGCUUUCCUAUAAACUUCUGAACCAUAUAUAUUGUUUGGAUAUCUCAUUUGCAAAACAUGGCAUCCAAUUUCUCAAGAAUUUGACAUCAAAUGUCAUUUUUAUAUAAUUCUGUCCCAUCUUAAUGUCUCUGCAUUGAGGAUAAGUGAGUUGCUAGUUGUAAUU